AGGAGCCUACGGGGGGCAGCAGUGGGGAAUAUUGGACAAUGGGGGGAACCCUGAUCCAGCGACGCCGCGUGAGUGAAGAAGUAUUUCGGUAUGUAAAGCUCUAUCAGCAGGGAAGAAAGAAAUGACGGUACCUGACUAAGAAGCCCCGGCUAACUACGUGCCAGCAGCCGCGGUAAUACGUAGGGGGCAAGCGUUAUCCGGAUUUACUGGGUGUAAAGGGAGCGUAGACGGUAACGCAAGUCUGGAGUGGAAGGCGGGGGCCCAACACCCGG
rnacentral:rRNA from 1 species